GCGUUAGCUCUCGAGUAUUUAGCAAUGGGGCAGCAGGAGGUGUGGACGCUCAUAUCGAGGUUUAAUGCAUUCAAAAGGAUUAAUACCAUACUGCACCAUUUGAGAAAGUCCAAGCACACAGAUGCAGCAGAAGAUGUGCUAGUGGAAUUAAAAAACAAACAAACAAACAAACAAAACAAACAAACAAACAAAAAAGGGUGUGCAGGAAUCAUAACACUAAACAGACCAAAGUUCCUAAAUGCACCGACUCUUAAUAGGAUUUGGCAGCUUUAUCCACAACUAGAGAAGUGGGAACAAGAGCCUGAAACUUUCCUGAUCGUUAUAAAGGGAGCCGGAGGAACGGCUUUCUGUGCUGAGGGUGAUCUCAGAGUGAUCUCGGAAGCUGAAAAGGCAAAACGGAAGAUAGCUCUAGUUUUCUUCAGGGAAGAAUCUAUGCUGAAUAAUGCUUUUGGUUCUUGCUACACACCUUAUGUUGCAGUUAUUCAUGGAACUACAAUGGAUGGGGGAGUUGGUCUCUCCGUCCAUGGGCAGCUUCGAGUGGCUACAAAAAGUGUCUUUUUGCCACGCCAGAAACGGCAGUAGGACUGUUCUCUGAUGUGAGUGGAGGUUAUUUCUUGCCACGACUUCGAGGAAAACUUGGUUACUCCCUUGCAUUAACAGGAUUCAGAUUAAAAUGAAGAUGUGUACAGAGCAGGAAUUGCUACACACUUUGUAGAUUCUGAAAAGUUGGGCAUGUUAGAGGAAGAUUUGUUAGCCUUGAAAUCUCCUUCAAAAGCAAAUAUUGCAGCUGUCUUAGAAAAUUACCAUACAGAGUCUAAGAUUGAUUGAGACAAGUCUUUUUACUUAAGGAACACAUGGGCAAAAUAAACAGUUGCUUUUCAGCCAAUACUGUGGGACAAAUUAUUGAAAACUUACAGCAAGAUGGUUCAUCUUUCGCCCUAGAGCAAUUGAAGGUAAUUAAUAGAAUGUCUCCAUCAUCUCUAAAGAUCACACAAAGGUAACUCAUGGAGGGGUCUUCAAAGACCUUGCAAGAAGUACUAACUAUGGAGUAUCGGCUAAGUCAAGCUUGCGUGGGAAGUCAUGACUUUUAUGAAGGCGUUAGGGCUGUUGUAACUGAUAAAGACCAGAGUCCAAAAUGGAAACCAGCUGAUCUAAAACAAGUUACUGAUGAAGACUUGAAUAAUCACUUUAGAUCUUUGGGAAGCAAUGAUUUGAAAUUUUGA